rnacentral:misc_RNA from 1 species
AACUUUCGGCAAUGGAUCACUUGGCUCUCGCAUCGAUGAAGAACGCAGCGAAAUGCGAUAAGUAAUGUGAAUUGCAGAUUUUUAGUGAAUCAUCGAAUCUUUGAACGCACCUUGCGCUCCUUGGUAUUCCGAGGAGCAUGCCUGUUUGAGUGUCAUUGAAUUCUCAACCCCACCGAUUUGCUUCGGGGGGAUUGGACUUGGAGCGUGCUGGCGAAGGUCGGCUCCUCUUUAAAUGCAUCAGUGGAGAGAAACUUGCCCCAGUGUGAUAAUCCUGUUGCGCUGUGGUGGGUGAAAGUCUGCUACCAACCGUCCCUCCGGGGACAUACAUCAUCUUAUUUUUGACCUCAAAUCAGGUAGGACUACCCGCUGAACUUAAGCAUAUCAAUAAUCGGAGGCU